UACGAAGGGGGCUAGCGUUGUUCGGAAUUACUGGGCGUAAAGCGCACGUAGGCGGAUCGGUCAGUUAGGGGUGAAAUCCCAGGGCUCAACCCUGGAACUGCCUUUAAUACUGCUGGUCUAGAGUUCGAGAGAGGUGAGUGGAAUUCCGAGUGUAGAGGUGAAAUUCGUAGAUAUUCGGAGGAACACCAGUGGCGAAGGCGGCUCACUGGCUCGAUACUGACGCUGAGGUGCGAAAGCGUGGGGAGCAAACAGG
rnacentral:rRNA from 1 species